GACGAACGCUGGCGGCGUGGAUUAGGCAUGCAAGUCGAACGGUAUCAUCCUUUCGGGGGGUGAGAGAGUGGCGAACUGGUGAGUAACACGUAGGUUAUCUACCCUCAAGACGGGGACAACCCAGGGAAACUUGGGCUAAUACCGGAUGUGAGCAACUUUUAGUUGUUUGAAAGGUGGCGUAAGCUGUCGCUUGGGGAUGAGCCUGCGUCCUAUUAGUUAGUUGGUGAGGUAACGGCUCACCUAGGCAAUGAUAGGUAGGCGGCCUUAACGGGUGGUCGCCCACACUGGGACUUGAGAUACGGCCCAGACUCCUACGGGAGGCAGCAGUCGAGAAUAGUCUACAAUGGUCGGAAGACUGAUAGUGCGACGCCGCGUGAACGAUGAAUCCCUUUCGGGGUGUAAAGUUCUUUUAUAUGUGAGCAGUGCUUCUUAUAUUUAACAGUAUGGGGAGAGAGAUAUUAGCAUAUGAAUAAGCAACGGCUAACUCCGUGCCAGCAGCCUCGGUAAAA
rnacentral:rRNA from 1 species